AUUACUCUCGAGUGUAAACUCGGACAUGGGCCUCAUGCGAUGGCGGAGCGCGGCUUCUCCAGGGCUGGCCUGAAAUCCAAACUCAAAGACUGGGUCGACUGUAUCGUUUCUCCCUUCCUCCCUGGCAAAGGUGUCAUAGUUGGCCGUUGCGGUCAUCUUUCGCCGAUGUCGGGAUGGAAGAAGAGAAGCUGAAGAGCCCGGCGACCUUUCGAAAGGAAGGCUGAUGCCUCACAC
rnacentral:misc_RNA from 1 species